rnacentral:rRNA from 1 species
CAGUAGCCGCGGUAAUACGUAGGUCCCGAGCGUUGUCCGGAUUUAUUGGGCGUAAAGGGAGCGCAGGCGGUUUAGUAAGUCUGAAGUUAAAGGCAUUGGCUCAACCAAUGUAUGCUUUGGAAACUGUUAGACUUGAGUGCAGAAGGGGAGAGUGGAAUUCCAUGUGUAGCGGUGAAAUGCGUAGAUAUAUGGAGGAACACCGGUGGCGAAGGCGGCCAUCUGGGACAACACUGACGCUGAGGCACGAAAGCGUGGGGAGCAAACAGGAUUAGAUACCCGUGUAGUCCCUGUCUCUUAUACA